rnacentral:rRNA from 1 species
UACGUAGGGGGCGAGCGUUGUCCGGAUUUAUUGGGCGUAAAGCGCGCGCAGGCGGUUCGUUAAGUCCGAUGUGAAAGCUCCCGGCUCAACUGGGAGAGGUCUUCGGAUACUGGCGAACUCGAGGGAGGCAGAGGAAGGUGGAAUUCCGGGUGUAGUGGUGAAAUGCGUAGAGAUCCGGAGGAACACCAGUGGCGAAGGCGGCCUUCUGGGCCUUUCCUGACGCUGAGGCGCGAAAGCGUGGGGAGCGAACCGG